UGUUAGCGUCCAAUGAUCAUUUGAAACCAUGCAACAAAUAAUUGUAUCUAUUUGGAACAACUCAUCCUACAUAAUAAUAAAAACUUGAUUUACAAAAAAGAAUUUCUUAAUACCAAAGGUCGCCUUUUUAUCACAUCUGUGUCAAUGGGCAUUUCCUCCAACGGUAGAAUCCCAGCUGGUGCCAACACUUCAACUUUAUUCUACAACGCGGAAAAUAGAAAAUAAACUGUUGUUAAUCGUUUUAUAUUUCAAAAGCAUUUUUAUUAGUAA